GCCUGAGUGUCCUUUGUGGUAGUUCUACC
rnacentral:piRNA from 1 species